rnacentral:rRNA from 1 species
GAUGAACGCUGGCGGCGUGCCUAAUACAUGCAAGUCGAGCGAACAGAUGAGGAGCUUGCUCCUCUGACGUUAGCGGCGGACGGGUGAGUAACACGUGGAUAACCUACCUAUAAGACUGGGAUAACUUCGGGAAACCGGAGCUAAUACCGGAUAAUAUAUUGAACCGCAUGGUUCAAUAGUGAAAGACGGUUUUGCUGUCACUUAUAGAUGGAUCCGCGCCGCAUUAGCUAGUUGGUAAGGUAACGGCUUACCAAGGCGACGAUGCGUAGCCGACCUGAGAGGGUGAUCGGCCACACUGGAACUGAGACACGGUCCAGACUACUACGGGAGGCAGCAGUAGGGAAUCUUCCGCAAUGGGCGAAAGCCUGACGGAGCAACGCCGCGUGAGUGAUGAAGGUCUUCGGAUCGUAAAACUCUGUUAUUAGGGAAGAACAAAUGUGUAAGUAACUAUGCACGUCUUGACGGUACCUAAUCAGAAAGCCACGGCUAACUACGUG